rnacentral:lncRNA from 1 species
GGAUAGUUCACCCAAAGAAUGAAAAAUUUGGUCCCAGUUUUAUAUUAAGUGGCCUUAACCACUAUGUACUUGCAUCAAAAGAAAAUAAGUACAAUGUAUUAUUGUGUUCAUAUUGUUUUGUAAAACACUUCUGCUGCUAGAGGUGUGAUAUGGAUAAGGUUCGGUGGUAUGUGUUGGUUUAAAGGUGGGUUAAGGUGUAAGGGAUGGGUCAACAGAGUAAUUAUAAAUGUAAUUACAGAUGUGAUUACAUGCAGAUAUUUUUAAAAUAGAAGUACAAUGUAAAAACAUGUAUGUACACAAUAAGUGCAUUGUAGCAAAUGAUUAAUUUAAAUGAAACUAUCCUUUCAAAACACCUCCAAGUUCUGUUUCCUCCAUCUGCAUCCAGUAACAUUGAAGGAAAGCACAUGUGGCUGAAGGUAAAGCCUCUUCCUCUCUUCCAGCGUCCGCCGCCACCCUCAUCAACAUCAGGAACGCCAGGAGACACUUCGAGAAGCUGGAGCGUGUGGAUGGGCCCAAGCACAGUCUGCACAUGCGCAUGCGCUAGCCUCGCCGCGUACAGCAGCUCUUGGUGGUUUUCUUGUUCUCAGGGUGGUGGAGGAUCCAGAAGACUUCCUCCAGUCUUGCUGACUUCACUUGCGUCCAGUGUUUCUGCUGAGUCACCUUCUGUUAACAUGUUUGAUUUCCUCGCUGAUGUCGCAAAGGAACAGUAGUUCUUAAUCAUAAACCACGGGUCGAGGGCUUGAAUGUCAUCUUGACUGCUUCAUUUCUGAUUUCUGUGCCAUACGGUGACUGCUGAGUUAUAGUCAGGAACGCUCUGUGUGUGUCUCUCAUGUGAAGCAUUAUCAGCUUGCUGUACUGUGUCUGCAGAUGUUGAAAAUCUGUGACUAAAACUCAUCUUUCUGAAUUAACAACUUGAUCUACAAAUUAUUCUAUUAUAAUUAUUCUUAAUAAAUACAGACUGUUCUGUAAUGACUGUCUUUCUGUCUUUAUUGAGAUUAUAUAAAGUUAAAAUGUCUUUAAGUGAAUCUGGUUUAUUUUGUGGGAAGAGUUAGAAAACCAGCUAGAUGUCUAAUGCAGGUCUUGUUGGUUUUUGUCAAAUGUCUAAAGUUUUGGUAUUGGAUUAGUAUGUUUUGAUUGGUUUAGAGAGUAACAUUAGUCCCCUUAAUAACUCCGGAGUUUUUAAACAUUUUAUUUUAUUAAACAUUGAUACUUUAACAGGUUACAUUGCCCCAAUUUAUCAUUGAGCACAUCUCCAGUGGUGGGAAGUAAACUGGGUCCAUAUGUCUUACCAGGACUUACAAUUAGAAUAAUUAAAAAAAAAAAGAGCCUAAAAGCCAAUGAUUUGCCCUCUCUCUGCAUGAGGAAUGACUUCAGCGAUCAUGUCCAGAGUCAUAAACACUGAAGGAUGUUACUGGCACAAGUGAUGUCAGAAAUGUCCAUUUGGACUGCAAUAUAAAACAAUUGCUAGCGCACAUUUCUUUUCAGUAUGUGAGGCCUUUAGAAAAGAUUUUGAACAUUCUAUAAGUAACCCCUUUAACUGAAAUGGGGGAGAAAUCAUGAUUGAAAUGCAUGGACAUACUGGGAAAUCUAAUUUAUUCAAAAUUGUAUUAAGGUAUGUGCAAUAGAAUGAAUUUGUUUCAUGACAAAGUUGAUAUUGCAAGCAAAAAAAGUUGCAUCGAUUUAAGAAAGUCCUGCAAAGAAAAUGAUUUCCCAAUCUUACUAGAGCAGGACAGCGGGUCAGUUCUGUGUGAUUGUGUGGCUCGUGAAAGGUGUGUUAGAUAAAGCUGUGAUUGCUAGUACAACUUUACAUUGUGAGAACAAAGAAGCAUUUACAGUCGAAUCGUCUUUUUAACAAAUUUGUGCUUGCAAAGAUGAAGAAAAUGCCCUUUAAACUUGUGUUAGAUGUGACAUCUAACUAUAAUAAAAUUCUAACCAAAAGUCACAAUCAAUUUCAAAUGCACAAGACGCUUUACUAAAUAUAAAGGUGCAUUUUGAUCAACUGUAAAGCCAGAAAAUCAUUGCAAAUUUGUAGUUCAAACAAAAAUUUAAAAAAAGUUGUAUUUUAUCAGUGCAACAUUGUUCAGGGGCAAUCAUAUACUGCAAAGAAAAAAAACCUCAAAAUAUCAGUUAUAUCAACAAGUAUGGGUGACAGGAUAUGAUGUCAUACUCUAGGGCUUCUGUUUUCAUCCAUCCAUUUCUCCAAACAAACUUGUCUAAUGGUUGAGGGUUUCUGUUUUCAAUAAAUAACUUUAAAUAACAUAUACAUUAAAAAGGUUAAAACAUACCAUCUACACUUUCCACACAGCAAGCCAUGCCGGUUUCUAUUUUUGUAUUGAGACGAAAGGUCCAUUUGUGAUGUAUAGACCCUCUAUCUGUAUGCACAGAUAUGUACUUCAGUGUAACUGUUUACAGUGUUUUAAAGGUGUUAUUCCUCUGAUCUUAUCUGCUGUUUAGGACCAGAUGGACACUUUUUUUUAAAUGUGUAAUAUUUGACGGUUCUCCAGCAUAUUUCGCCCAUGAUCCCUCCUCACAUGUAGAGGGCCUUUUAAACAAUAAUGACAAUCGAUUAAUAUGAUUACAGACAUCCACCUUCCAUUAAUGACUGAUAGUUGGUAGAAACCUCCGUCUAGAAAGCAGAGCAGCGUUCGCUCUUAUCCCCGGGAGGCUUUCGCCCAGUGUUGAAUCUCGGCUUGAACGAAUGCUCCGAGAUCAGCUGAUUUAUUUCGUUCUGCUUGUAGGUCGCCAGUUUUUGAGCGAGCCAAGGCGCUUUGGGUUCACCCACUGCUCCAUGAAAGUAUUUCAUACACACCUGGCCUAUUAAAUACACAACCUCUGCGAUGUUCAACAAGACACAGACUCCAGACACGGCCAGCAUGAAGACAGUGAAGAUGGUCUUCUCUGUGGGACGCGACACGAAACAGUCCACUGUAUUGGGACAGGGAUAGGAGUCACACUUCACAAGACGCACCAUCUUGAUGUCUGGAUAGAUCAAGUAAAAAAUGUACAAGAAAACCACCUCGAAUACGAUGCGGAAGACGAUGCUGAUGAUGUAAGUCCACCACAGAGCACCGGUGAUCUUGAACUUCUGGCUCUUGAUGUUCUCCAAGUCCUUGGCGCUCCCUCGGCCGGAGAUCAAUACAUAUACUGACAAAAGAAAAAAACCUACAAAAUAUCAGUUAUAUCAACAAGUAUGGGUGACAGGAUAUGAUGUCAUACUCUAGGGCUUCUGUUUUCAUCCAUCCAUUUCUACCAAACAAACUUGUCUAAUGGUUGAGGGUUUCUGUUUUACAAUAAAUAACUUUAAAUAACAUAUACAUUAAAAGGUUAAAACAUACCAUCUACACUUUCCACACAGCAAGCCAUGCCGGUUUCUAUUUUUGUAUUGAGACGAAAGGUCCAUUUGUGAUGUAUAGACCCUCUAUCUGUAUGCACAGAUAUGUACUUCAGUGUAACUGUUUACAGUGUUUUUAAAGGUGUUAUUCCUCUGAUCUUAUCUGCUGUUUAGGACCAGAUGGACACUUUUUUUUAAAUGUGUAAUAUUUGACGGUUCUCCAGCAUAUUUCGCCCAUGAUCCCUCCUCACAUGUAGAGGGCCUUUUAAACAAUAAUGACAAUCGAUUAAUAUGAUUACAGACAUCCA